GGAAGCAGAGGAGCUAAACUGAAGAGGAUAGAUGUUCUCAUUUUCUAAGUGCACAUAUUUGCACAUCAUCUUUGUGAACCGAACUCUGAGCAGCCACUGGGGCUAAGGUCUGGAGAAAAAUGGGUUGGCCACAGCAAGACCCCAUCCCAGUGCUUUGUGGAUAGGAAGCCAAGAUGAGCUGAAGAUGAGUGCUCAUUAGGAUCCUGUUGCUCUUGUCUAUUCACCAACAUGGAUGAUUUGAAGUUCUGUCUAAUCAUCCAUUCAUCCAACCAUCCAUCUAUGUUUUCAUCUACUUAUCUAUCUAUAUAUCUAAAGAAAUCAAAGAAGAAAGAAAUUCUUGACACAUUAAUGUGAUGACUACAAUUCGAAAAUCUGUCUACCUAUCUCUUAUCGAUCCAUCCAUACACCCAUCUAUCUGAAGAAGCCAAAGGAAAAGGACGGAUGGGGGGAUGGCAUAAUUGGGUGUUGGGCAUUAAGGAGGUCACAUUAUAUGAUGAAC